rnacentral:rRNA from 1 species
UACGGAGGAUGCGAGCGUUAUCCGGAUUUAUUGGGUUUAAAGGGUGCGCAGGCGGUCUGUUAAGUCAGCGGUCAAAGCCCGGGGCUCAACCCCGGCCCGCCGUUGAAACUGGCAGUCUCGAGUUGGAGAGAAGUAUGCGGAAUGCGCGGUGUAGCGGUGAAAUGCGUAGAUAUUAGGAAGAACACCGGAGGCGAAGGCGGUUUACUGGACUGCAACUGACACUGAGGCUCGAAAGCGUGGGGAGCAAACAGG